rnacentral:rRNA from 1 species
GUGGGGAAUAUUGCGCAAUGGGGGAAACCCUGACGCAGCGACGCCGCGUGUAGGAAGAAGGCCUUCGGGUCGUAAACUACUGUCAAGAGGGAAGAAACCGUAGAGCAUUAAUACGGCUCUGCGCUGACGGUACCUCUAGAGGAAGCACCGGCUAACUCCGUGCCAGCAGCCGCGGUAAUACGGAGGGUGCGAGCGUUAAUCGGAAUCACUGGGCGUAAAGCGUGCGUAGGCGGCGUAUCAAGUCAGACGUGAAAGCCCUCGGCUCAACCGGGGAAUUGCGUUUGAAACUGGUAUGCUAGAGUCUCGGAGAGGUUGGCGGAAUUCCAGGUGUAGGAGUGAAAUCCGUAGAUAUCUGGAGGAACACCGGUGGCGAAGGCGGCCAACUGGACGAGUACUGACGCUGAGGUACGAAAGCGUGGGUAGCAAACAGGAUUAGAUACCCUAGUAGUCC